rnacentral:rRNA from 1 species
UCUACGGGUGGCUGCAGUGGGGAAUAUUGGACAAUGGGCGAAAGCCUGAUCCAGCCAUGCCGCGUGUGUGAAGAAGGCCUUCGGGUUGUAAAGCACUUUCAGUGGGGAAGAAAGCCUUGGGGCUAAUACCCUCGAGGAAGGACAUCACCCACAGAAGAAGCACCGGCUAACUCCGUGCCAGCAGCCGCGGUAAUACGGAGGGUGCGAGCGUUAAUCGGAAUUACUGGGCGUAAAGCGCGCGUAGGCGGUCUGAUAAGCCGGUUGUGAAAGCCCCGGGCUCAACCUGGGAACGGCAUCCGGAACUGUCAGGCUAGAGUGCAGGAGAGGAAGGUAGAAUUCCCGGUGUAGCGGUGAAAUGCGUAGAGAUCGGGAGGAAUACCAGUGGCGAAGGCAGCCUUCUGGACUGACACUGACGCUGAGGUGCGAAAGCGUGGGUAGCAAACAGGAUUAGAUACCCUGGUAGUC